rnacentral:rRNA from 1 species
UACGUAGGCAGCGAGCGUUGUUCGGAGUUACUGGGCGUAAAGAGUGCGUAGGCGGUUUUCUAAGUUUGGUGUGAAAUCUCCCGGCUUAACUGGGAGGGUGCGCCGAAAACUGGAAGGCUUGAGUAUGGGAGAGGUAAGCGGAAUUCCUGGUGUAGCGGUGAAAUGCGUAGAUAUCAGGAGGAACACCUGCGGUGUAGACGGCCUACUGGACCAUAACUGACGCUGAGGCACGAAAGCGUGGGUAGCAAACAGG